rnacentral:rRNA from 1 species
AUUGAACGCUGGCGGCAGGCCUAACACAUGCAAGUCGAGCGGAGCGGCGGUCGGGUGCGUAAUGCCUAGGAAUCUGCAUGGUCGUGGGGGAUAACGUCCGGAAACGGGCGCUAAUACUGCAUACUCUCAGAUGAGCCUAGGUCGGAUUAGCUAGUUGGUGGGGUAAAGGCCUACCAAGGCGACGAUCCGGAACUGGUCUGAGAGGAUGAUCAGUCAAACUGGAACUGAGACACGGUCCAGACUCCUACGGGAGGCAGCAGUGGGGAAUAUUGGACAAUGGGCGAAAGCCUGAUCCAGUCAUGCCGCGUGUAUGAAGAAGGUCUUCGGAUUGUAAAGCACUUUAAGUUGGGAGGCGUUACCAACAGAAUAAGCACCGGCUAACUUCGUGCCAGCAGCCGCGGUAAUAC